ANAGCUUUGAUCCUGGCUCANGAUGAACGCUAACGGCAGGCCUAAUACAUGCAAGUCGGACGGGAUUUGGGAGCUUGUCUCCUGAUGAGAGUGGCGCACGGGUGCGUAACACGUAUGUAACCUACCUUUACCAGGGGGAUAGCCUCUCGAAAGAGAGAUUAAGACCGCAUAAUAUUAUCGGAUAGCAUUGUUUGAUAAUCAAAUAUUUAUAGGGUAAAGAUGGGCAUGCGGAACAUUAGCUAGUUGGUAAGGUAAUGGCUUACCAAGGCUACGAUGUUUAGGGGAUCUGAGAGGAUGGCCCCCCACACUGGUACUGAGACACGGACCAGACUCCUACGGGAGGCAGCAGUAAGGAAUAUUGGUCAAUGGGCGGAAGCCUGAACCAGCCAUGCCGCGUGCAGGAAGACGGCCCUACGGGUUGUAAACUGCUUUUGUACCGGAAUAAACCUUUCUACGUGUAGGAAGCUGAAUGUACGGUAAGAAUAAGGAUCGGCUAACUCCGUGCCAGCAGCCGCGGUAAUACGGAGGAUCCGAGCGUUAUCCGGAUUUAUUGGGUUUAAAGGGUGCGUAGGCGGCCUAUUAAGUCAGGGGUGAAAGACGGUAGCUUAACUAUCGCAGUGCCUUUGAUACUGAUGGGCUUGAAUGUAGUUGAGGUANGCGGAAUGUGGCAAGUANCGGUGAAAU
rnacentral:rRNA from 1 species